rnacentral:lncRNA from 1 species
ACUUAGAAGACGGCCUGACCCAGAAUAACACUAAUGUUCACAUGGCUGCGAGUCUCAGACCAAAAUCAAUAGCCGGUAUCUACUGAAACUGCAGCAAGGCGAAACCACGGGAAUGGCGCUCCGUUGAGUAGAGCAACGCACAGCACAUCACAUCGCAUCCUCCGUAGCGGGAGGCUCUGGCCUCACCGCAGCGGCACUUCCCGGAAGAGCCCAGGAUAUUCGGGGACCCGCACCGGACAGGCGGCCCAGGCCCCCUGGCGCCCAGCUGGCCGCCCUGUUGCAGCUCUCAUGCCAAGACCUGCGCCUAACGGCAGGGAUUCCGGCGGUCAUCAUUUAUUCUUGGCGCUAAGCUGCCGCUUCUCUUUUUUAUCACCACAGAGUAACGCAGACCCCACCGUUUCCUUCCAUUCUGAGCCAACCACUCCAGCAGCCACCGGGGCGCCAGGUUAUGCUGGGGCUGCACCACCCGGCCCGAGGCUUUUGAAGCCACGCCUGAGCGCGGAGGAUGGGCAGGAUUUGCCCCGUGAACUCCCGCGCACGCAGGCUCCGCGCGAGGCCCGGGCGCCCGAGCGGCGAUUCCCUCCCCUAUCACCAGCUCCAGGGUGGUGCCCCCCGGCUGUGGAGCCCAGACCCCGGCCGUCCAGCAGCGUAUAGACGAGCCCAUGUCUGCGAUGUAACUGCACCGCGCUGGGGAUCCACCUCCCGCCAGGGUGAGGGCGCCGUCCUCCAGCGUAUGCUAGGCAGGCGCGCCCCGCCCUCCUGGUCACGUGACCACGCCUACAGCCGAAGAGGAUGGGAAAAUGCGGCCCUGUUCCUGAACAGGAAGCGGAAGCAGGAAGGAACUGAGAACACCAGCAUCUGCUGCCGCCCUGAAUCAGCGUUAGCAUGUGGAGGCAACCUCAGCCCCCAGUUUUUGAAGAAGGUGAUUCAGAUUCAGACACAGGAAUUAUGGUGA